CAAGCCUGAUGCAGCCAUGCCGCGUGUAUGAAGAAGGGUCCUUACGGGUUGUAAAGUACUUUUCAGCAGUGAGGAAGGUGGGUAUGUUAAUAGCAUAUCAUUUGACGUUAGCUGCAGAAGAAGCACCGGCUAACUCCGUGCCAGCAGCCGCGGUAAUACGGAGGGUGCGAGCGUUAAUCGGAAUUACUGGGCGUAAAGCGCAUGCAGGUGGUUUGUUAAGUCAGAUGUGAAAGCCCGGGGCUCAACCUCGGAAUUGCAUUUGAAACUGGCAAACUAGAGUACUGUAGAGGGGGUAGAAUUUCAGGUGUAGCGGUGAAAUGCGUAGAGAUCUGAAGGAAUACCGGUGGCGAAGGCGGCCCCCUGGACAGAUACUGACACUCAGAUGCGAAAGCGUGGGGAGCAAACAGGAUUAGAUACCCUGGUAG
rnacentral:rRNA from 1 species